CCUGAGAAACCCAAAAGAUCGAAUGGGGAGAUUCAUCGUCAGCUCAUUUUGUAUAUAUAUAAGUUAUGAUGCGGGUUACUACUUGUAGUAUUGCUUGCACAUUCUUAUAUAUUUAGUUGCAAGAUGUUGUCGGCGUGCACUUCUCCCCUAGUAGGACGUCGCGACCCGUUGGGUGUCGGUCUACGGCCCAAGUGGUAGUCUUUGAUAUUUUAUUAUAUUAAAGUCCCUUGGUGUUUUCUGACCGGCUACUCGGCGGUACACGUACGGUAUUAAGCCGCAAUUAUAUGCGUCUAUUCCCGUCGCAAGCGAGGCCAAUUUCUGAUAGUACGGACCUAGUGCCGUCGUUGGUAUUGGCCAGCUGUUGGUUGUUACGGUGUUCUAAGACUGGCUUAUAAUAAUUACCGGUCGGCGAUGCUACUGCUUUGGGUACUUUCAG
rnacentral:rRNA from 1 species